GGGCGUGUAACUCAGUGGUAGAGUGCUCGCUUCGCAUCCCCCUGGUGCUGAAAUGCGAGAAGUCCAGGGUUCAACUCCCUGCUCGUCCA